rnacentral:rRNA from 1 species
GUGAGCGGAUGAACUGAGGGUAGCGGAGAAAUUCCAAUCGAACCUGGAGAUAGCUGGUUCUCUCCGAAAUAGCUUUAGGGCUAGCCUCAAGUGAUGAUUAUUGGAGGUAGAGCACUGUUUGGACGAGGGGCCCCUCUCGGGUUACCGAAUUCAGACAAACUCCGAAUGCCAAUUAAUUUAACUUGGGAGUCAGAACAUGGGUGAUAAGGUCCAUGUUCGAAAGGGAAACAGCCCAGACCACCAGCUAAGGUCCCAAAAUAUAUGUUAAGUGGAAAAGGAUGUGGCGUUGCCCAGACAACUAGGAUGUUGGCUUAGAAGCAGCCAUCAUUUAAAGAGUGCGUAAUAGCUCACUAGUCGAGUGACACUGCGCCGAAAAUGUACCGGGGCUAAACAUAUUACCGAAGCUGUGGAUUGUCCUUUGGACAAUGGUAGGAGAGCGUUCUAAGGGCGUUGAAGCAUGAUCGUAAGGACAUGUGGAGCGCUUAGAAGUGAGAAUGCCGGUGUGAGUAGCGAAAGAUGGGUGAGAAUCCCGUCCACCGAUUGACUAAGGUUUCCAGAGGAAGGCUCGUCCGCUCUGGGUUAGUCGGGUCCUAAGCUGAGGCCGACAGGCGUAGGCGAUGGAUAACAGGUUGAUAUUCCUGUACCACCUAUAAUCGUUUUAAUCGAUGGGGGGACGCAGUAGGAUAGGCGAAGCGUGCGAUUGGAUUGCACGUCUAAGCAGUAAGGCUGAGUAUUAGGCAAAUCCGGUACUCGUUAAGGCUGAGCUGUGAUGGGGAGAAGACAUUGUGUCUUCGAGUCGUUGAUUUCACACUGCCGAGAAAAGCCUCUAGAUAGAAAAUAGGUGCCCGUACCGCAAACCGACACAGGUAGUCAAGAUGAGAAUUCUAAGGUGAGCGAGCGAACUCUCGUUAAGGAACUCGGCAAAAUGACCCCGUAACUUCGGGAGAAGGGGUGCUCUUUAGGGUUAACGCCCAGAAGAGCCGCAGUGAAUAGGCCCAAGCGACUGUUUAUCAAAAACACAGGUCUCUGCUAAACCGUAAGGUGAUGUAUAGGGGCUGACGCCUGCCCGGUGCUGGAAGGUUAAGAGGAGUGGUUAGCUUCUGCGAAGCUACGAAUCGAAGCCCCAGUAAACGGCGGCCGUAACUAUAACGGUCCUAAGGUAGCGAAAUUCCUUGUCGGGUAAGUUCCGACCCGCACGAAAGGCGUAACGAUUUGGGCACUGUCUCAACGAGAGACUCGGUGAAAUCAUAGUACCUGUGAAGAUGCAGGUUACCCGCGACAGGACGGAAAGACCCCGUGGAGCUUUACUGUAGCCUGAUAUUGAAAUUCGGCACAGCUUGUACAGGAUAGGUAGGAGCCUUUGAAACGUGAGCGCUAGCUUACGUGGAGGCGCUGGUGGGAUACUACCCUAGCUGUGUUGGCUUUCUAACCCGCACCACUUAUCGUGGUGGGAGACAGUGUCAGGCGGGCAGUUUGACUGGGGCGGUCGCCUCCUAAAAGGUAACGGAGGCGCUCAAAGGUUNCCUCAGAAUGGUUGGAAAUCAUUCAUAGAGUGUAAAGGCAUAAGGGAGCUUGACUGCGAGACCUACAAGUCGAGCAGGGUCGAAAGACGGACUUAGUGAUCCGGUGGUUCCGCAUGGAAGGGCCAUCGCUCAACGGAUAAAAGCUACCCCGGGGAUAACAGGCUUAUCUCCCCCAAGAGUUCACAUCGACGGGGAGGUUUGGCACCUCGAUGUCGGCUCAUCGCAUCCUGGGGCUGUAGUCGGUCCCAAGGGUUGGGCUGUUCGCCCAUUAAAGCGGUACGCGAGCUGGGUUCAGAACGUCGUGAGACAGUUCGGUCCCUAUCCGUCGUGGGCGUAGGAAAUUUGAGAGGAGCUGUCCUUAGUACGAGAGGACCGGGAUGGACAUACCUCUGGUGUACCAGUUGUCGUGCCAACGGCAUAGCUGGGUAGCUAUGUGUGGACGGGAUAAGUGCUGAAAGCAUCUAAGCAUGAAGCCCCCCUCAAGAUGAGAUUUCCCAACUUCGGUUAUAAGAUCCCUCAAAGAUGAUGAGGUUAAUAGGUUCGAGGUGGAAGUAUGGUGACAUGUGGAGCUGACGAAUACUAAUCGAUCGAAGACUUAAUCAA